AACGAACGCUGGCGGCAUGCCUAACACAUGCAAGUCGAACGAGACCUUCGGGUCUAGUGGCGCACGGGUGCGUAACGCGUGGGAACCUGCCCUUAGGUUCGGAAUAACUCAGUGAAAUUUGAGCUAAUACCGGAUGAUGUCUUCGGACCAAGGAUUUAUCGCCUUUAGAUGGGGCCGCGUUGGUUUAGCUAGUUGGUGGGGUAAAGGCCUACCAAGGCGACGAUCCAUAGCUGGUCUGAGAGGAUGAUCAGCCACACUGGGACUGAGACCCGGCCCAGACUGCUACGGAGGGGAGCAGUAGGGAAUAUUGGACAAUGGGCGAAAGUCUGAUCCAGCCACGCCGGGGGAGUGAGGAAGGCCGUAGUGUUGUAAAGCUCUUUUACACGAGAUGAUAAUGACAGUACCGGGAGAAUAAGCUCCGGCUAACUACGUG
rnacentral:rRNA from 1 species